CCUACGGGGGGCUGCAGUGGGGAAUAUUGGACAAUGGGCGAAAGCCUGAUCCAGCCAUGCCGCGUGUGUGAAGAAGGCCUUCGGGUUGUAAAGCACUUUCAGUGGGGAAGAAAGCCUUGGGGCUAAUACCCUCGAGGAAGGACAUCACCCACAGAAGAAGCACCGGCUAACUCCGUGCCACCAGCCGCGGUAAUACGGAGGGUGCGAGCGUUAAUCGGAAUUACUGGGCGUAAAGCGCGCGUAGGCGGUCUGAUAAGCCGGUUGUGAAAGCCCCGGGCUCAACCUGGGAACGGCAUCCGGAACUGUCAGGCUAGAGUGCAGGAGAGGAAGGUAGAAUUCCCGGUGUAGCGGUGAAAUGCGUAGAGAUCGGGAGGAAUACCAGUGGCGAAGGCGGCCUUCUGGACUGACACUGACGCUGAGGUGCGAAAGCGUGGGUAGCAAACAGGAUUAGAUACCCCAGUAGUC
rnacentral:rRNA from 1 species